GACUAUUUCCGCAAAUUCCGGCGGAGGAAAGAAAAAGGGCUACUAGGCAACGACGCCGCCCCUAGCACCUCUUCCGCCCUUCAGGCUGGUCUGCGGAGCCUGCAGGACUUGGGUCCUGAGAUGCGGCAGGCCCUCACCUGUGACACAGAGGAGGAGGAAGAAGAGGGGCAGGAGGGAGUGGAGGAGGAAGAUGAAAAGGACUUGGAAACUAACAAAGUGGGGACAAGUUUUCACUCUCCCAGGAACUUGAUUGUAAAAUACUUCGUCAAUCCCCUGAGUGAUUUUGACACUGCUUCUGGGAAGAAGCUCCCCCAGAGAAGCCCCCUCUGCAAUAGAAAAAUAUUUAUUUGAGGCUGGGAGUGGUGGCUCAUGCCUAUAAUCCCAGCACUUUGGGAGUCCAGGGUGGAAGGAUCGCUUGAACCCUAGGGUUCAAGACCAGUCCUGGCAAAAUAGUGAAACCGCCUCUCUACAAAAAAAUUUAAAAAUUAGCUAGGAGUGGUGGUGCAAGCCUGUAGUCCCAGCUACUUGGGAGGCUGAGGCAGGAGGAUUGCUUGAACCUGGGAGGAUGAGGCCACAGUGAGCUGUGAUCAUGCCACUGCACUCCCGCCUGGUGACAGGACAAGACCCUAUCGCAAAUAUUUAUUUAUUUAUUUACGUAUUUA
rnacentral:lncRNA from 10 species